rnacentral:rRNA from 1 species
ACUUCGGUGGCGAGUACAGUGGCGCACGGGUGAGUAACGCGUAGAUAAUCUACCCUUCAGUCUGGGACAACUCCUGGAAACGGGAGCUAAUACCGGAUAAAACCUUCGGGUUGAAAGAUUUAUCGCUGGGGGAUGAGUCUGCGUACCAUUAGCUUGUUGGUGGGGUAACGGCCUACCAAGGCGACGAUGGUUAGCGGGUCUGAGAGGACGAUCCGCCACACUGGAACUGAGACACGGUCCAGACUCCUACGGGAGGCAGCAGUAGGGAAUAUUGCGCAAUGGGGGCAACCCUGACGCAGCAAUGCCGCGUGAGUGAAGAAGGCCUUCGGGUCGUAAAGCUCUUUUAUGGGGGAAGAUGAUGACGGUACCCCAUGAAUAAGCACCGGCUAACUACGUGCCAGCAGCCGCGGUAAUACGUAGGGUGCGAGCGUUGUUCGGAAUUACUGGGCGUAAAGGGCGUGCAGGCGGAUUGGCAAGCCGGAGGUGAAAGCCCGGGGCUCAUCCCCGGAGGGUCUUUCGGAACUGCCAGUCUUGAGAGGGUCAGGGGCCAGCGGAAUUCCUGGUGUAGAGGUGAAAUUCGUAGAGAUCAGGAGGAACACCGGCGGCGAAAGCGGCUGGCUGGGGCCACUCUGACGCUGAGGCGCGAAAGCGUGGGGAGCAAACAGGAUUAGAUACCCU